rnacentral:rRNA from 1 species
UACUAAGGGGGCUAGCGUUGCUCGGAAUCACUGGGCGUAAAGCGCACGUAGUCGGCUUGUUAAGUCAGGGGUGAAAUCCUGGAGCUCAACUCCAGAACUGCCUUUGAUACUGGCGAGCUUGAGUUCGGGAGAGGUGAGUGGAACUGCGAGUGUAGAGGUGAAAUUCGUAGAUAUUCGCAAGAACACCAGUGGCGAAGGCGGCUCACUGGCCCGAUACUGACGCUGAGGUGCGAAAGCGUGGGGAGCAAACAGG